ACGAACGCUGGCGGCACGCUUAACACAUGCAAGUCGAACGAGAGAAGAGAAGCUUGCUUUUCUGAUCUAGUGGCGGACGGGUGAGUAACACGUGAGCAAUCUGCCUUUCAGAGGGGGAUACCGAUUGGAAACGAUCGUUAAUACCGCAUAACAUAAUUGAACCGCAUGAUUUGAUUAUCAAAGAUUUAUCGCUGAAAGAUGAGCUCGCGUCUGAUUAGCUAGUUGGUAAGGUAACGGCUUACCAAGGCGACGAUCAGUAGCCGGACUGAGAGGUUGAUCGGCCACAUUGGGACUGAGACACGGCCCAGACUCCUACGGGAGGCAGCAGUGGGGAAUAUUGCACAAUGGAGGAAACUCUGAUGCAGCGAUGCCGCGUGAGGGAAGAAGGUUUUAGGAUUGUAAACCUCUGUCUUCAGGGACGAAAAAAGACGGUACCUGAGGAGGAAGCUCCGGCUAACUACGUGCCAGCAGCCGCGGUAAUACGUAGGGAGCGAGCGUUGUCCGGAAUUACUGGGUGUAAAGGGAGCGUAGGCGGGAUCGCAAGUCAGAUGUGAAAACUAUGGGCUUAACCCAUAAACUGCAUUUGAAACUGUGGUUCUUGAGUGAAGUAGAGGUAAGCGGAAUUCCUAGUGUAGCGGUGAAAUGCGUAGAUAUUAGGAGGAACAUCAGUGGCGAAGGCGGCUUACUGGGCUUUAACUGACGCUGAGGCUCGAAAGCGUGGGGAGCAAACAGGAUUAGAUACCCUGGUAGUCCACGCCGUAAACGAUGAUUACUAGGUGAGGGGGGACUGACCCCUUCCGUGCCGCAGCAAACGCAAUAAGUAAUCCACCUGGGGAGUACGACCGCAAGGUUGAAACUCAAAGGAAUUGACGGGGGCCCGCACAAGCAGUGGAGUAUGUGGAUUAAUUCGAAGCAACGCGAAGAACCUUACCAGGUCUUGACAUCGUAUGCAUAGCUCAGAGAUGAGUGAAAUCUCUUCGGAGACAUAUAGACAGGUGGUGCAUGGUUGUCGUCAGCUCGUGUCGUGAGAUGUUGGGUUAAGUCCCGCAACGAGCGCAACCCUUACUGUUAGUUGCUACGCAAGAGCACUCUAGCAGGACUGCCGUUGACAAAACGGAGGAAGGUGGGGAUGACGUCAAAUCAUCAUGCCCCUUAUGACCUGGGCCUCACACGUACUACAAUGGCUGUCAACAGAGGGAAGCAAAGCCGCGAGGUGGAGCGAACCCCUAAAAGCAGUCUUAGUUCGGAUUGUAGGCUGCAACCCGCCUACAUGAAGUCGGAAUUGCUAGUAAUCGCAGAUCAGCAUGCUGCGGUGAAUACGUUCCCGGGCCUUGUACACACCGCCCGUCACGCCAUGGGAGUCGGUAACACCCGAAGCCUGUAGUCUAACCGCAAGGAGGACGCAGUCGAAGGUGGGAUUGAUGACUGGGGUG
rnacentral:rRNA from 1 species